AUACACCUGGAUAUAGUGCUACAGGUACACACACAUGAUGACAGCAUUGCAUAUUCCUGGAUAUAGUGCUACAGGUACACACACAUGAUGACAGCAUUGCAUA